GGGCUCACGGUAUUUGGCCGUGGGGAAUCCUCUCACAAACACUUGGAAGAUGAUCCAGUGCCCUGAAGAGGAUAGAGGCGAUGGAUGUGGACCCCGACACAGGGAUCUACCGGAUUGCAGUGCUUAACAACAAGACAGUGAAUCACCGACACUAGCUUCAUUCUCCAAUACAAUUCUGGCUCGGGAAAUUGGGUUUCCAUAGACAGCGGGAUAAUGCGAUGCAAUCCUGGCUACAACCAAAAAGCAAAA
rnacentral:lncRNA from 1 species